rnacentral:rRNA from 1 species
AUUGAACGCUGGCGGCAUGCCUUACACAUGCAAGUCGAACGGUAACGGGCCUUCGGGCGCCGACGAGUGGCGAACGGGUGAGUAAUGUAUCGGAACGUACCUUUCAGUGGGGGAUAACGUAGCGAAAGUUACGCUAAUACCGCAUAUUCUGUGAGCAGGAAAGCAGGGGAUCGCAAGACCUUGCGCUGAUUGAGCGGCCGAUAUCAGAUUAGCUAGUUGGUGAGGUAAAGGCUCACCAAGGCGACGAUCUGUAGCGGGUCUGAGAGGAUGAUCCGCGACACUGGAGCUGAGACACGGUCCAGACUCCUACGGGAGGCAGCAGUGGGGAAUUUUGGACAAUGGGGGCAACCCUGAUCCAGCCAUGCCGCGUGAGUGAAGAAGGCCUUCGGGUUGUAAAGCUCUUUCGGCCGGGAAGAAAUCGUAUCAGCUAAUACCUGGUGCGGAUGACGGUACCGGCAUAAGAAGCACCGGCUAACUACGUGCCAGCCGCCGCGGUAACAC